GACCGAUAGCGAACAAGUAGAGUGAUCGAAAGAUGAAAAGCACUUUGAAAAGAGAGUUAAAAAGCACGUGAAAUUGUUGAAAGGGAAGCGCUUGCGACCAGACUCGCCUCCAGGGUUCAGCCGGCAUUCGUGCCGGUGUACUUCCCUGGGGGCGGGCCAGCGUCGGUUUGGGCGGCCGGUCAAAGGCUCCCGGAAUGUAGUGCCCUCCGGGGCACCUUAUAGCCGGGAGUGCAAUGCGGCCAGCCUGACCGAGCAACGCGCCCGGCACGGACGCUGGCAUAAUGGUCGUAAACGACCCGUCUUGAAACACGGACCAAG
rnacentral:rRNA from 1 species